rnacentral:other from 1 species
AAAACCCUGCUGUGUGCGAAUCAGACUGUAUUUUUUGAGCCAACAAAUUUGACUUGGGAGCUUUGGCUCCGGCGGCGUAGAAUAUGCCCCAAAUGUCGGGGACAUUUGAAAGCGCCGGGCGGGCACCCACCUGCGGAAGCAGGUUCAAAAAAUGCGGUUCAAACGGCAUGGCGGGGUAUUU